AUUGAACGCUGGCGGCAGGCUUAACACAUGCAAGUCGAGCGGGGGAAGGUAGCUUGCUACCGGACCUAGCGGCGGACGGGUGAGUAAUGCUUAGGAGUCUGCCUAUUAGUGGGGGACAACAUCUCGAAAGGGAUGCUAAUACCGCAUACGUCCUACGGGAGAAAGCAGGGGAUCUUCGGGCCUUGCGCUAAUAGAUGAGCCUAGGUCGGAUUAGCUAGUUGGUGGGGUAAAGGCCUACCAGGGCGGCGAUCUGUAGCGGGUCUGAGAGGAUGAACCGCCACACUGGGACGGGGACACGGCACAGACCCCUACGGGAGGCAGCAGUGGGGAAUAUUGGACAAUGGGGGGAACCCUGAUCCAGCCAUGCCGCGUGUGUGAAGAAGGCCUUAUGGUUGUAAAGCACUUUAAGCGAGGAGGAGGCUACUUUAGUUAAUACCUAGAGAUAGUGGACGUUACUCGCAGAAUAAGCACCGGCUAACUCUGUGCCAGCAGCCGCCGUAA
rnacentral:rRNA from 1 species